GUUCCUCUCCGUUGCGAGCAAGCUGAAAGAUUGGUCUGAUGUGUUUUGAUCUCUGCUGCCAGGGACCCUAGGGCAAUGCCAGCGAUCUACAACGUGGCGACAUGGUGAGCGUGUGACCACUGCCCUUAACCGGAAGGAGCAGGGAGUUAAGCAGCUGGAGUCGGGGUGAUGGGAUACAGGGGACCAGCCUGGCUGUUCUUGGUUCCUCUUCAGGCAGCGGAGGGGGAAGAGUGUCUGAGGUGACAAGACUUGGUUUUCAGAGAUAUUUAGGGUUGCUGUUUAGUAUUAAGACGUUUGCCUAUCUUAAGUCUCAGUCGCGUUGCAGCAGAAGCUGACCUGCCCGAGUUCCUCUGAGGCAAGGCUGGACGCUGCAAUCUCUGGUAUUUAGAGCCUCCUCUUAAAAGGCAGGGGAUUAAGUGAAUAGCUUUUGUUCUAUCUCCACUGAAAUUGAGAUACUCUUAACUUCCAGCUGCUAGUUGAAGUCACAGGAAGAAAAGUUGGACACUUUCAAACAUCUCUUUAAACUUUUUUUCCAAGUUCUUCUAAAAAGUUUCCUAUGAAAGUUCUCUAAGGAAAGGGAGUGGGUGAUUAAGUAAAGGAGUCAUUGCUAGAGCCUUUCCCUCUUGUCCAGAUGCCUCUUGCUUGCUAAGCUUGGGGGAAGUUUGGAGCAAUAAACUUCUCUUAAACCAGGAGAAGAGAGCCACCUUCACAGAAGGAAAGUCUUUUACACAAGCAAAUAUGGAUAAACUCACAUAAAUUCAUAUACGAAUUCAUACCCUUUUGGGAGGUUAGUUUGGUCCAAUGUAUGUUGAAUUUCCAACUAGAGGGGACUCCUUUGCAGAUAUGUCCAAUCCACUUGCACAGUUACUUCAGCUCAUGAAAGUAUAACAACGUAAAAACAGAAUUCUAGGCUUUUAGGCCCAGGCUUGGGAAUGUGGCCUUUGUAAAGGUGUGCUAAUCAUAAAAGAGAUAGAGACAUUCCUCUACCCACCCGCUUCCUGGGUUCAAAGAGUGCUCAUUCAAAGAAAAUCACCCUGGCCAUUACCAGAACCUGCAAUGCAAAUGUGCUAUUGUUAGAGGCUCUUCGUUGCUGUCUUGAGAGUUAACAAUUACCAGGUAUUCCUUGUGACUCUUGUAACUUUACACUUCCUUGUGACUCUUAGCUGGUAUCUUUGGUAUCUUCCAACAACGCCCUCCCCACUUCCUUAAGUUGUGGUUUCUUCCUUUAAAUACCCCCUUACCCAGCUACUCGGGGCGCCAUGGUCCUCUACCCCUGCGUGGUGUAUGACCAUGGGCCCGAGAGCGCUCUUGAAUAAAAAUCCUCUUGCAAUUUGCAGCAAGACCCGUUUCUUGUGGGUGAUUUUGGGGUGGCGCCUCUCCUGAGUCAGAACGUGGGGGAGUCCUCACGUUGUGGGUCUUUCAUUUGGUGCGUUGGCCGGGAAGCGCGACCACCCCUCACACCCGAGAACCGACUUGGAGGUAUGGGGAUCCCCUCUUGUGUGCGUGCCAGCCGGUGUCUCUGUUCUGAGUGUCUGUUUUCUGAAACGAACAUUGGAACAUGUGCUUGUUGUGUUGGGUUGUUUAUGUCUUGUCCUAUGUUUCUGAAGCACGGCAAAGUCUGAGUUUAGAUCCAUCUGAGUUUAUUGAAUUUGUGUCUUGGUUUCAGGGUUACGAGAUCGUGGGUUCGAGUCCCACCUUGUGCCUUGGUUUUACAUCUGGCAGAGUGAGGAACAAGUGUGCUUCUCUGGUUUUGGUCGUCUAAGUAAAAGUGGACGAUGUUGUUGGUAGACGAUGGGGUGAUGGGGUUUUCUGAAAUGCGCGCAUCUGUAUUUGCAGCUGUCCUUUUGGGCCGUAAGGACUGGAGGACUGUGGUCGGCAGACGUGCUAAGAGGACCACAAGCUGUGGCCCUGGGGGACGCCCUGGGAGGUAGGGAGAGCCAGGGACGCCUGGCUGUCUCCGGAGAUCGGUCAGAGGGACCGAGUUCUGUUGAAGCGGAAGCUUCCCCCUCCAACAUUGUCUAAUUCUUUUGCCUGCUUGUGGAGGACAAGAAAGGGUCGAGCGUGUCGAGAUCUGUUGGUUUCUGUUUUGUGUGUUUUUGUGUAUGUGUUUAGAGCUAUGUGAAAAUCUAAAAAAAAAAAAAAAGCAAAGGUAAUUCUCAUAGGUGCUUUAUACCCUGACUAGAGAUAGUUUACACCUGAGAUGUGAGAGAAUGGGUUUUAAGAAAAGUAGUACUCUCCGACUAUCUGGGGAUAAUUUGGUAAUAAAAUAAAAUAAACAGUAUUAAUAGAUAAUUUGGUAAUAAAAUAAAAUAAACGGUAUUAAUUGGUCUUUGGAGCCCUGCAUCUGUAGUUAAGAAUCUAGUGUGGCUGGAGAAGCCCUGCUAGGCGCUGAUUAUAAACGCUGCUCUUAUAGGGAUGAGCAGCUUCUCAAGUUCUAUGGUAAGGGAACAGAUGGCUGCUUUUCCUACAAAAAUCUCUGUGCUUGUGAUUAUUAGAUUCAUCAGGUGACAAGGUGCUCCUCUCUUGAAAUUACAGCUAGAAAAAUUAAGAAUUUUGUUUGGUUUAAAUGAGCAAAUAUAUACGGCCAUUUCAUUUUUGUUUCUAAAUAGUUUCAAAAGUAUAAAUAUGUUUUAUAUGUCUUGGUUAUAGAUUAGUGGCUCAUAAGUUAUUGGUUAUGAUUAAAAAUUUGUAACAUUGGUAACAAAAAGUUGACUUAAAACUGGUAACUCUGGGUUAGAGUAACUUAGAACUACAACAUGCAGCAUGAGACAACCCAUGGGAACAGGUCUCUAAAGAUACGCCUAAAUUGGGUAAUAUUCUAUGUAGUUCUUAUCCUAGAAACCCGAUUUAUAAUAGAUAUAUUGGCGACUACACCUUCUUGUGUUUGUGUGCAGGAACGGACAGCCAAACUUUGUAGCAAGUAAUGUUUUUAGAGUUCAUUAAAAAAAAAAAUAGAUUGUUUUCACUGUUAAAAUUGGGUUUUGCUCCUCAAAAUUGUGGUUGUACUCUCAUGUUACAAGAGAAAUUGAAGGCUUCUCCCGAAUCGGAGCCACCAACUAAAUCGGCUCCUCUAAAAUCUAUAAAGCCUCCUGAGUGGCCUAGUCCACAACCUUCCCCUUAUCUACAGCCUCGACCCCAGCCGCCGAGGGAACCCCAAACCCCUCGGGGUGUCGAGAGGUGGACCGCUGUGAGUACAUGGAGCCACAGGGAGCCUCAGAGCACAGAGUCUGGGCGGACUCUGGUGGACCCGCCCAAACUUUAAACCCUUCAGUACUGGUCAUUUUCCUCUGCUGGUAUUUAUAACUGAAAAAUUAAUCACCCCCUUUCUCAGGAUCCCCAACGCCUCACAGGGUUGGUAGAGUUCCUUAUGUUCUCUCAUCAGACUACUUGAGACGACUGUCAACAGCGUUUGCAGAUGCUCUUAACAACCAAAGAGCCAGAGAGAAUUCUGUUAGAGGCUAGAAAAUUAGCCUGAAAGCCAACAGGCGGUCUACACAGCUACAAAAUGAGAUCGACAUGAGAUUCUCUUUGACUCAUCCCAGUUGGAACUGCAACAUGGCUAAAGGUAGGGAGAGCUUAAAAAUCUAUCGCCAGGCUCCGGUCUCCAAGGUGCCUCAAGACGGGCCCACUAAUUUGGCUAAGGUAAGAGGUAAUGCAGGGGCCGAUCGAACCUCCCUCGGUGUUCCUUGAAAGGCUUAUGAAAGCCUUCAGGCGGUUCACUCCCUUUAAUCUUACCUUGGAAGCCCAAAAGGCCUCAGUGGCCAUGGCCUUUCAUAAGGCAGUCAGCUCCCCGAUAUCAGAAAGAAACUUCAGAGAUUAAAAGGUGUAUUAUGAGAGAGAGACAGUCAUUCGAUCUAAUAAAAGAGGCAGAAAAAGUGUGUGUGAGAGAGAGAGAGAGAGAGGCGAGAGGCAAAAAAAAGAAAAAAACAGGAGGGAUCUUAGACAAGAGAGAAAGUUGACUAAAAUCUUGACCACAGUGAU
rnacentral:lncRNA from 1 species